rnacentral:rRNA from 1 species
UACGAAGGGGGGCGAGCGUUUGUUCGGGAAUCACUGGGCGUAAAGGGCGCGUAGGCGGCCCCUCUUGUCGCGUGUGAAAGCCCCGGGCUCAACCUGGGAAUGGCAGUGGAAACUGGCGAGCUUGAGUGUGGCAGAGGGGGGUGGAAUCCGCGUGUAGCAGUGAAAUGCGUAGAGAUGCGGAGGAACACCGAUGGCGGAAGGCAACCCCCCUGGGCUGACACUGACGCUCGAGGCACGAAAGCGUGGGGAGCAAACAGG